UACGUAGGGGGCGAGCGUUGUCCGGAAUCAUUGGGCGUAAAGAGCGUGUAGGCGGCCACGCAAGUCGGGGGUGAAAUCCCGGAGCUCAACUCCGGAACUGCACUCGAAACUGCGCGGCUUGAGGUAGGUAGGGGAGAUCGGAAUUCCUGGUGUAGCGGUGGAAUGCGCUGAUAUCAGGAGGAACACCGGUGGCGAAGGCGGAUCUCUGGGCCUUACCUGACGCUGAGACGCGAAAGCUAGGGGAGCGAACAGG
rnacentral:rRNA from 1 species